GUGCCAGCAGCCGCGGUAAUACGUAGGGUGCGAGCGUUGUCCGGAAUUACUGGGCGUAAAGAGCUCGUAGGUGGUUUGUCGCGUUGUUCGUGAAAACUCACAGCUUAACUGUGGGCGUGCGGGCGAUACGGGCAGACUAGAGUACUGCAGGGGAGACUGGAAUUCCUGGUGUAGCGGUGGAAUGCGCAGAUAUCAGGAGGAACACCGGUGGCGAAGGCGGGUCUCUGGGCAGUAACUGACGCUGAGGAGCGAAAGCGUGGGGAGCGAACAGGAUUAGAUACCCUGGUAGUCCACGCCGUAAACGGUGGGUACUAGGUGUGGGUUCCUUCCUUGGAAUCCGUGCCGUAGCUAACGCAUUAAGUACCCCGCCUGGGGAGUACGGCCGCAAGGCUAAACUCAAAGGAAUUGACGGGGGCCCGCACAAGCGGCGGAGCAUGUGGAUUAAUUCGAUGCAACGCGAAGAACCUUACCUGGGUUUGACAUGCACAGGACGCCGGCAGAGAU
rnacentral:rRNA from 1 species